AAUGGGGAAGCCGAAAACCAAUUUAAGAGUAGGCG
rnacentral:ncRNA from 1 species